rnacentral:rRNA from 1 species
UACGGAGGAUGCGAGCGUUAUCCGGAAUCAUUGGGUUUAAAGGGUGCGUAGGCUGGUAUUUAAGUCAGUGGUGAAAUUUUCGUGCUUAACAUGAGAGCUGCCAUUGAUACUGGGUACCUAGAGUGUAUUUGAUGUGGGCGGAAUGUGUUGUGUAGCGGUGAAAUGCUUAGAUAUGACACAGAACACCGAUAGCGAAGGCAGCCCACAAAGUUACAACUGACGCUGAUGCACGAAAGCGUGGGGAUCAAACAGG